rnacentral:rRNA from 1 species
GAUGAACGCUGGCGGCGUGCCUAAUACAUGCAAGUCGAGCGAACGGACGAGAAGCUUGCUUCUCUGAUGUUAGCGGCGGACGGGUGAGUAACACGUGGAUAACCUACCUAUAAGACUGGGAUAACUUCGGGAAACCGGAGCUAAUACCGGAUAAUAUUUUGAACCGCAUGGUUCAAAAGUGAAAGACGGUCUUGCUGUCACUUAUAGAUGGAUCCGCGCUGCAUUAGCUAGUUGGUAAGGUAACGGCUUACCAAGGCAACGAUGCAUAGCCGACCUGAGAGGGUGAUCGGCCACACUGGAACUGAGACACGGUCCAGACUCCUACGGGAGGCGGCAGUAGGGAAUCUUCCGCAAUGGGCGAAAGCCUGACGGAGCAACGCCGCGUGAGUGAUGAAGGUCUUCGGAUCGUAAAACUCUGUUAUUAGGGAAGAACAUAUGUGUAAGUAACUGUGCACAUCUUGACGGUACCUAAUCAGAAAGCCACGGCUAACUACGUGCCAGCAGCCGCGGUAAUACGUAGGUGGCAAGCGUUAUCCGGAAUUAUUGGGCGUAAAGCGCGCGUAGGCGGUUUUUUAAGUCUGAUGUGAAAGCCCACGGCUCAACCGUGGAGGGUCAUUGGAAACUGGAAAACUUGAGUGCAGAAGAGGAAAGUGGAAUUCCAUGUGUAGCGGUGAAAUGCGCAGAGAUAUGGAGGAACACCAGUGGCGAAGGCGACUUUCUGGUCUGUAACUGACGCUGAUGUGCGAAAGCGUGGGGAUCAAACAGGAUUAGAUACCCUGGUAGUCCACGCCGUAAACGAUGAGUGUUAAGUGUUAGGGGGUUUCCGCCCCUUAGUGCUGCAGCUAACGCAUUAAGCACUCCGCCUGGGGAGUACGACCGCAAGGUUGAAACUCAAAGGAAUUGACGGGGACCCGCACAAGCGGUGGAGCAUGUGGUUUAAUUCGAAGCAACGCGAAGAACCUUACCAAAUCUUGACAUCCUUUGACAACUCUAGAGAUAGAGCCUUCCCCUUCGGGGGACAAAGUGACAGGUGGUGCAUGGUUGUCGUCAGCUCGUGUCGUGAGAUGUUGGGUUAAGUCCCGCAACGAGCGCAACCCUUAAGCUUAGUUGCCAUCAUUAAGUUGGGCACUCUAAGUUGACUGCCGGUGACAAACCGGAGGAAGGUGGGGAUGACGUCAAAUCACCAUGCCCCUUAUGAUUUGGGCUACACACGUGCUACAAUGGACAAUACAAAGGGCAGCGAAACCGCGAGGUCAAGCAAAUCCCAUAAAGUUGUUCUCAGUUCGGAUUGUAGUCUGCAACUCGACUACAUGAAGCUGGAAUCGCUAGUAAUCGUAGAUCAGCAUGCUACGGUGAAUACGUUCCCGGGUCU